AGCGAACGCUGGCGGCAGGCCUAACACAUGCAAGUCGAACGAACCUUUCGGGGUUAGUGGCGGACGGGUGAGUAACACGUGGGAACGUGCCUUUAGGUUCGGAAUAACUCAGGGAAACUUGUGCUAAUACCGAAUGUGCCCUUCGGGGGAAAGAUUUAUCGCCUUUAGAGCGGCCCGCGUCUGAUUAGCUAGUUGGUUGAGGUAAUGGCUCACCAAGGCGACGAUCAGUAGCUGGUCUGAGAGGAUGAUCAGCCACAUUGGGACUGAGACACGGCCCAAACUCCUACGGGAGGCAGCAGUGGGGAAACUUGCGAAAUGGGCGAAAGCCUGACGCAGCCAUGCCGCGUGAAUGAUGAAGGUCUUAGGAUUGUAAAAUUCUUUCACCGGGGACGAUAAUGACGGUACCCGGAGAAGAAGCCCCGGCUAAAUUCGUG
rnacentral:rRNA from 1 species